UGGAAUUGUUUUAAAAUCACACAUUAUACUCUAAAUUGAAUGCUGAUUUCGAUGUAGUGAUUUGUUUUCUCGUCAAAUAAGUUGUUCGGGAAAUGUUUUGAAAAAUUUUGUUGUAUCACGCUAGAGCUGUAGCGUGCUUGCGUGGUAACUAUGUAAACACUUUCUUGAGAUUAUUAAAAAAACUUUUUGAUUGGGAUUUGUUACUCGAGUGUAAACAAUAAUUAACAAAAAACGUUCUGAUCACUUCUCUUUCAUCAACUGGAUGAUGUAUCUUAAUUUAAAUUCGGUAUCGUCCGUAUUCUGCGUAUUUCAUUUUUAUAUUUUGUACGUUUGAAUUCCUACAGUUGCAUACUUGCAUUGCAUGAAAAAACCAUGAAGCAUACCACGAUUAGUCACGGGUGGUUCCCUUUGCACGGGAGAGUUUGAGUCGCGCGUGUGUUGCACUUAAGAUGGCGUUGUUGCUGUCCUGUACUCAAACGCCAGUACAUUCCGGUAUUUAGCAUGUUUUGGAGCGCCAGUGUGCUUAAACAUAUAGAGCAUUCUGAGAGCCAGAGCUUCAACCUUCCAGUAAGGAAGGUUGAUUGUCACUAGAUGGCUGUGCAGGAUCUGUUGUUGUCAUUGUCACUGCUCACUAUAUGUUUAUUAUUCAAGAAAAGUGAUAAAAUCCACUAUCUGAUGACAUGGUGUGAAUGGGACUGUCAUCAGAAGUCGAACUACAAGCAGAAUACAAGGAAGACCAUCAAUUCCGUAGAUCAAGGGGUAAAGGUCUAGUCUGAGGCGAAAAAAACCUGAUCAUGUACUUAAAAAUGAUCUGCUUUCACAGCUACUGUGUUUAGUUUUUUUCAUUUGUCUGCAGUUCUGAAUUGAGGCAGGUUUUUAUUUGCCUUUCAGUGUCUGAUUCUAAGCAAUGGUCUUUUGGGAAACUUAAAAUUGUGUGGGCCUUAUGGAAAAUAAGGAUUUAUCUGGUACACAGCUUAACUUGUGUCAAGCUGUACAAAUUUUACCUGUUUCAAAUUUAUUUUAAAACUGGUGUUACAUGUAUUGUAUACCUAUAUCCAUUCUUUUUUAGGAAAAGAUUUUAGCCAUGCAGAUCCAGAAAUAGCUCUAUUGAACAUGCAAAGUUCAUUCAGGAUCAUCUAUCUCAUGAAAAUGCCGCAAAGAUUCUUGAUUUUAGAUCCAUGACUGCUAUUCUGCCAUAAGCGUCUUAAUUUUUGAAAAUCAGCAACUGAUUGGUGAGGGCUAUGCCUUUAUAAACUAAAAUGUCAAUUAUGGAUGGAAGAUUCCAGAAAACAAGACCAUGGAAAUGGAAAUUUCGGUCCAGCCCUCUCCCAUUAUAUUCAGAGGGAAAUGUAUAGAUGGGUUCCUACUGGAUAUUAAUACCAAUUCUCCCAUCUUACGGUCUCACGAGGAAGUUUUGCAGCUGACCGUUAAGAUGUCUUGUCUUAUAUUUGACGGUGUCAGAAAUAGAAGACGAAAAAAGAUGCUGCACUUUCGAAGAAAGUUACCUGCACUUAACCGCUAGCCACUGAUUCGAACCGAAGAUAAAAUAUUAUAAUUUUUAUAAAUUGAAGUGCAUAUCUGGGCUCCCUUCUUUUCUGUGGCCCCGUUUCCCCUUGACUUGUGAUAAGCCCGUAGGGGGUCAUGCCCCUACUGUGAUCAGCAGUAAAGG